CUGAAAGCAAUGUGUCGAACCAAUUCACUGUGUUUCUGUCUUAACCAGCGGCUGCUAAUCUGCUCAGAGGAAGGGCACCCCUUUCUCAGUUUGCUGGAGGUUGCUAUAUCAAGCCUGAAUGUGCUGGUUUCACAUGACUGCCCUGGCCCUGCUGCUUUGAAAGUUCGGGUGACAGCCAGCGAAAGAUGCCUCUCUUCUCCGGUGCUUCGGUAUGUGACCCCACCAGGCAAUCCCACUGCAGCCAGGUGAGAUCCAGCCAGUAACCUUCCCAUCCUCAUAAGGAAAAGAACGGGAAAACAGCUGUAGGACUUGGAUGAGGACUACCGUGCUCUGCAAGGAGGUGUUGUGGCAUUAGCUGAGGGACACUGCAGUGUGCUGACCAUAAGAAGAGCAGAUGCCAGCCAGGUUCCCAAAAAGGGUAGAAUUCACCUACCCAGACCUCCAACUACCCAGACCUCCAAGCUGCAACUCCUGCCUCACCCUGGAGAUAUCUAAACUCCACUGAUGUCUCAUGUUUUAACUUCUGAAUUUCAGCAGCACCUGAAAUGGGCCCAGGAAGUGCUCCGGUCUCAACAGAGUUGAGUAGAUAGAUAUAUAACUCAUGCGUCAGCUUGGCCAAGUUCUGGGAGCUCCUUAAUUCCUGGAUCCCAUGAGCAUGCUCAAAGCACCCUGAGGGCUCAGCAGCCAAAUGCAAUCGCAGUACUGGUCUCUCUGUGCUGAGCUGGCAGUGCUCAGUUUGAAACCAGCUCACAUCCCAGUGCUUGCAUGACUUCUUGCAGACAGAGGCUCUGUGCUCCGAGGCACAUAAAUCCACACUGGACCUCCCCAGGGGAAUGCCCCGAGCACUGGGGAACAAGCACAAAAUGAGCACUGGUGGGUGAGGAGAAGGACCAAUGUGUGCUCCACACUUCAAGCAAAAUCAUUAAGGCAGUAGAGGAAGUGGAGAGGGGUGGCAAUGAGGGACUUCUCGCAUGGAGUUGAGGAUGCAAGGCUGGACUUAACCCAGAGAAGGCCUUUCACUCCUGGGUUGCGAGAUCGCCAAGGGAUGGCAGCAGAUCUGCGAAUCGAUGGCAUAGGCAGGCCCUCCAGACGGCACACGAGUCUGCGAUUAGACCAUGGGAUCCUGCAUAUUUGCACAGAGCCAAGCAGACAGGCAAGCUCUCAGCACGCUCCAAGGGCUCCGGAAGUGAAAGGUUGCUCAAGGAUAUGCCGGGGGAUAGCAGCCUAUUUUUUGUGCUUUGUGCUAAUUUUGUGUUUCUGCUUGUUUCCUGUUCAGGGGAAAGUGUCUUCAGACAUGGUGCCAUGCGCCUUUCUUUCUGCCUCUUUGGGAUCAGGGAUACUUUAGCCUCUUGGCUUCCUGAGGAGCCGGUUCCAGCACAGACUGGCCGUAUCCACACUCCCCUUUCGAAAGCUCCCCAUGCUGGGGCAGGUUAAUCCACCUGGCAGGGAUGAAAGGCUGAAUGUAGAUUUGAAUGUGCAGCUCCGGGGAGUGCGACUAGUUCAAAUGAGCUGCUAAAUAUCUCAGCAGCCUCCAGCUAGCAACAGCAGGUAGCAAGCUGCUCUUGUCAUAUCUUAUCCCUGCAAGAAUUCCUAGUCUCCUUUUCAUCAUGAAGAAGAACUGCCAAAAUUGGAGGCAAAUCCGCAGGCUCAGUUCAGUUACACUAUGGGACUAGCUUCAGCUUUAAGUCAUCCUCCCACUCCUGCUCCCAAGCCUGUGCUGUAGCCAGAGGGCCAAAUUGCCUGGGGGCUAUUCAGAGUCACCCCACAGCUGCUCUACUACCGCCUGGUCCGGUGCAGGUGCGUCCUUGCAGUCAUGCGAGGGCCUGUGGCACGCUGGCUCCCGUGCUGGAGGGAGGAUGGACACCAUUCCCCCGGGGCAGAGAGCACGCGGAUCGGGUGGCAGCACCUGCGGGCACUGAAGUGGGAGUGGAAAGGAUCUGUCUUGUGUCCCAUCGCCACGUGCUCUCCUUGCUGCGCCCGAGGAAGUGCAGGUGUGCUUGUUUGCAUUGCUGGAGAGAUCAGAGUUAUGGGCGCUCCGGGCUGAGAUGUUUCAACACGGUGUGCUCUGCAAUAUCCUAUCUACUGGGCCAUACAGCCAUGCCGACUUCUCACGCCUCUCCCUGCUCCCACCCUGCCUGGAGGAAGGCUGCAUGACGCCAAUGGUCUGACUUGCCUCCUCCUGACCAGCAAGCACUGCUGAGAUUAAAAACUAGUCAAAUGCUUUUGUAAUUCCCGAGGAAACCCGCUGUGGGUUUCAUGUUCCUCUCUGCCUGCAAACAAUGCUUGCGGUGUUGUGUUUUGGGCUGUAGCUGUGGUAGUGUAGAUGAGGGUUUGAUUUGUACAACACCUAGCACGCUGAGGUCUCAGUCCGUGACGGAAACAAUUAGGCAUAACUCAAAUAAGCAGCAUCUUUAAUCAUGUAUUUUCCCUGGCUGCUCCAUUCUGCCUGUAGAGAGCUGCACUUUAACAGAAGUAGAUUGAGAUAAGCAAAGGAUUACAUCUUUCAUCAUCACAUGAGGAAAGGUGCUGAUUUCUCCUGUGUAGGCUAUCUCAAUAUGUACUCACUUGUUCGUCCUCUCCCAGACCAUAUAUUAUUCUUCAACUACACAUUAAAAAAGGUUUAAUGAGGGAAGCAGGCACUGGCAGUUAUUUUCACAACAUCAGAAUGAUUCACUUCAUUGCCAUAAUUUAACUCAGCAUAAAGCUCCAUAUACCAGUAAUAUCUAGACAAACUAAACUAUUCUCUGUUUGUUCUAACAAAUUUUUUUUUUUUUGCUUUCAGCAACUCUUUUUUUUUUCUUGACCCUUCUUUGGAUGAACUUUGCCUUGAAUAAACAGCAACAUCUGGAAUUCA
rnacentral:lncRNA from 1 species